rnacentral:rRNA from 1 species
UACGAAGGGGGCUAGCGUUGCUCGGAAUCACUGGGCGUAAAGGGCGCGUAGGCGGCGUUUUAAGUCGGGGGUGAAAGCCUGUGGCUCAACCACAGAACGGCCUUCGAUACUGGGACGCUUGAGUAUGGUAGAGGUUGGUGGAACUGCGAGUGUAGAGGUGAAAUUCGUAGAUAUUCGCAAGAACACCAGUGGCGAAGGCGGCUGACUGGUCCGGUUCUGACGCUGAGGCGCGAAAGCGUGGGGAGCAAACAGG